CCUACGGGGGGCAGCAGUGAGGAAUAUUGGUCAAUGGGCGGAAGCCUGAACCAGCCAAGUCGCGUGAGGGAUUAAGGCCCUGCGGGUCGUAAACCUCUUUUGCCGGGGAGCAGAGGUCCGGACGUGUCCGGGCCGGGAGAGUACCCGGAGAAAAAGCAUCGGCUAACUCCGUGCCAGCAGCCGCGGUAAUACGGAGGAUGCGAGCGUUAUCCGGAUUUAUUGGGUUUAAAGGGUGCGUAGGCGGGCAUUUAAGCCGGCGGUCAAAUGUCGGGGCUCAACCCCGGCCUGCCGUCGGAACUGGGUGCCUUGAGUGGGCGAGAAGUAGGCGGAAGGCGUGGUGUAGCGGUGAAAUGCAUAGAUAUCACGCAGAACCCCGAUUGCGAAGGCAGCAUACCGGCGCCCGACUGACGCUGAGGCACGAAAGUGCGGGUAUCGAACAGGAUUAGAUACCCCAGUAGUC
rnacentral:rRNA from 1 species